rnacentral:rRNA from 1 species
UACGUAGGUGGCAAGCGUUGUCCGGAAUUACUGGGCGUAAAGCGCGCGCAGGCGGUCCUUCAAGUCAGAGGUGAAAGCCCAGAGCUCAACUCUGGAAUGGCCUUUGAGACUAGAGGACUUGGGUACGGGAGAGGUGAGUGGAAUUCCGAGUGUAGAGGUGAAAUUCGUAGAUAUUCGGAAGAACACCAGUGGCGAAGGCGGCUCACUGGCCCGUUACCGACGCUCAGGCGCGACAGCGUGGGGAGCAAACAGG